rnacentral:rRNA from 1 species
UACACGCUGUGACUAGCAUAUCAAUAAGCGGAGGAAAAGAAACUAACAAGGAUUCCCUCAGUAACGGCGAGUGAAGCGGGAAGAGCUCAAAUUUGAAAUCUUGAAAGGUCACCUUUCACGAAUUGUAGUUUAAAGAAGUGUUUUCUGUUACGAUCGUAAUAUAAGUUCUUUGGAAUAGGACAUCACAGGGGGUGAGAAUCCCGUCUAUGAUUGCGAUUUGUAGCUUUGUGAUACACUUUCAAAGAGUCGGGUUGUUUGGGAAUGCAGCCCAAAACGGGAGGUAAAUUUCUUCUAAGGCUAAAUAUUGGCGAGAGACCGAUAGCGAACAAGUACCGUGAGGGAAAGAUGAAAAGAACUUUGAAAAGAGAGUUAAAUAGUACGUGAAAUUGUCAAAAGGGAAGCGUUUAACACCAGUGUUGUUUUCUGAAAAUCAACCUCUGUUAGCUUUAUGCAUGUUUGUUUAGACCUAAUCAGCUAUCUUUCAUGUUCUAUUGUUUGCAGUGGUGCACUUUUCAGUUUACAGGUCAACAUCAGUUUUUUUUACCGUAAAAAAGUUAAAGAAAGGUAGCUCAUGGCUCCGGUCGUGAGUGUUAUAGUCUUUUUCCUAUGCGGUAGGAGAGACUGAGGUCUGCAGUGUAGGCUAUUUGGCUAGAUACUCAGGUGCUAUGUGAUACCAUUUCAUAAACAACUUGUUGAUUAUGUUUUGUCUAUUGCAUACUCGCUUGUACUAUCAUACCUACGCUUAGGAUGUUGAGUAGCGACAUACGCAC